rnacentral:tRNA from 1 species
GGAGGUAUAGCUCAGUUGGUAGAGCAACUGACUCUUAAUCAGUGGGUCUAGGGUUCGAGCCCCUAUGCCUCUA